rnacentral:tRNA from 1 species
AGUUAAAUAAUUUAUAGAAAAUAUUUACCUUGAAAGUAAAAAAAGAAAAGAGCAUCUUUAACUU